rnacentral:rRNA from 1 species
AUUGAACGCUGGCGGCAGGCCUAACACAUGCAAGUCGAGCGGAUGAAGGGAGCUUGCUCCAGGAUUCAGCGGCGGACGGGUGAGUAAUGCCUAGGAAUCUGCCUGGUAGUGGGGGAUAACGUCCGGAAACGGGCGCUAAUACCGCAUACGUCCUGAGGGAGAAAGUGGGGGAUCUUCGGACCUCACGCUAUCAGAUGAGCCUAGGUCGGAUUAGCUAGUUGGUGGGGUAAAGGCCUACCAAGGCGACGAACCGUAACUGGUCUGAGAGGAUGAUCAGUCACACUGGAACUGAGACACGGUCCAGACUCCUACGGGAGGCAGCAGUGGGGAAUAUUGGACAAUGGGCGAAAGCCUGAUCCAGCCAUGCCGCGUGUGUGAAGAAGGUCUUCGGAUUGUAAAGCACUUUAAGUUGGGAGGAAGGGCAGUAAGUUAAUACCUUGCUGUUUUGACGUUACCAACAGAAUAAGCACCGGCUAACUUCGUG